rnacentral:rRNA from 1 species
GACGUAGGAGGCAAGCGUUAUCCGGAAUUAUUGGGCGUAAAGCGUCCGUAGGUGGCCCUUCAAGUCUGCUGUUAAAGCCCAGGGCUCAACCCUGGAGAAGCAGUGGAAACUGGCGGGCUAGAGUGCGGUAGGGGUAGAGGGAAUUCCCGGUGUAGCGGUGAAAUGCGUAGAGAUCGGGAAGAACACCAGUGGCGAAAGCGCUCUGCUGGACCGCAACUGACACUGAGGGACGAAAGCUAGGGGAGCGA